UUUAUUAGGUAGGGAUACGCGCAUAUGCAGUUUCUUUUUUUAUUUACUUAGGAUUAUUUUUACAAAUUUUGCUCAAGAGCGUUUAAUCACCUCAUUUUUGACAUGUCCAAAUUGCAUUAAAAGCAGAACCAACUUCCAAAUUAAAUUAAAAAUUUCAAAAUAUCUUUGUUUAUCACGUCUUGCUGUACCUAUGUAUCUUUGCCCACUCUGUAUGUUUUUGAUAUUUUCGCCCAGGAAAUUUGACUACAUUUUUACGCCAUAUUCAAAAAUCACUCUAUAUAAGUUUUAAAUUACAAAUCGAACUAUUGAAACGAUAACGAUCCAUUGAAUUUGAGAUAGAAUAUACCACAUUAAAAUAGGAAAACAGACCUAAUAGAAUUAGACCUUUAAAAAAAAUUAUAUUGAGAAAAUGCGCACUUUAAAGUGCGUUUACGCACAAUUGUAAAUACAACAUUGGGUUCACUAAACACUUGAACAUGGAAUGCAGCUGCUCCAGACCACUUCUAGCGAAAACAAUGAGUAAUUUUUGUUAGAAAAUUCAGUUUUGAUAAACAACUGAAAAAUUCCAUUGAAUAAUAAGACAAAAGGAACGAAUCACACAAAGUGAGUGUAUUUUCUUCAUGACAGCGCCCAGGUUUUAAAUUAAAAAACAGUUUAAUCAGUAACAGCAAUUUAAUUUCGAAUGUUGAGCUGCAUUUGAAGGGCGAAACUACCUACUUGAAAAACUUAACUAUCUAAUUAGGUACUCAUAUAAACUCCAAAUUUGCAUAAAAGUUGCAAAUCAACAUCACCAAUCAAUCAAUGAGGACAAAUUAUUUAAAAAUCACCAGUAAAAAAUAUUUGAAGUGGCCUAAAAACGUGCCUCAGGGACGCAUUGAUAAGAUAUAACAGACAAGAGCUUCCCAGUAUAAUUGCAAAUUAAUAUCAGCUAAAAGAUGGGUUUUUCCAAAUGGCGCACAUACUUCACAUAUCGGUACUUCUAUGCAUUAAUCGGGGAAGUAUUCAAUCAUGGAUACCUACAUUUUCACCCCAAUUAACAGAGCUUCCAGAUGAAGGCUGGAUAAGGACGAUGAAACGAUUCCUUACUGCUACGACGACAAUCAGCUUUACUGUGCCAGUCUAACAGUAAGUUGACUGAAGUUGAAAUUACUAAAUCUGAACUUCUAUAGGUUCAAUAUGGUACCAAUGAUGAUAAAUGUGGAGUCUUUGGGGACGACUACAAAAACUCCAUUCCAAGAAGCAACGAAAACGGAGUUGUAGAAUGAAGAUUGCUUCCAGUCUCUGACUCUUGAGGGCGGCUCUGUGUCUCAAAAUGUUGCGGCAGGACAAUUCAACAUUACCAGCUACGUUCAAUUGCCCAACGAUAUGGUUUGUGAUAAAUGUAACAAUUGGGGUAGUUGAGGCCAAGAUACGUCUGUAGAAUGAUGCGGUCCGCGGGAAACUUUCCGCUCAUGUGCAAACAUCAGCAUUUUAAGUUGAUAUUUUGGGCUACAAGCACGGCCAUUAAGAGCAGCUAUUUCACACGGGCCACUCUGCAGCGCUUCGUAGUGGCAUUGCUGAGAAGCGCGUUUUGAAGGUACAUUGAUUUAUAUGGAAGUAUUCACAAGGGCGCGACCGAGACCCGACCACCGAUUUAGCAGCGCUUUUGUGGCGUUCAGUGGCUGACUACCGCCUAGAAGCGCGUCAAAAAGAAGCGCCACUGAUAGCGAUACAUUGGUUCAAAUGCUGGCGUUUGAAGCAGUGCGAAAAGGUUCUAAAUAAUGCAUAGUUUUGUUGCCCAUCUGGUGAAUGAACCAGCUUUGAUUUCUUUCAUGCUGUCUACAUACUUAGGCGAAUGACAUUGUUUUACUUUCAAUGUGCAAGCAGUCUCUGAGGUUACUCAAGAUUGUUCACAGAAUUACGGUGUUAAUUAAAAAAAAGCAUAUCUUAACAAAAAUUUAUUCUACAUAGAUUAGUCAAUAAAAAUGUUUACUUUAA
rnacentral:lncRNA from 1 species